rnacentral:rRNA from 1 species
UACGUAGGGUCCGAGCGUUGUCCGGAAUUAUUGGGCGUAAAGGGCUCGUAGGCGGUUUGUUGCGUCGGGAGUGAAAACUUACAGCUUAACUGUGAGCGUGCUUCCGAUACGGGCAGACUUGAGGUAUUCAGGGGAGAACGGAAUCCUGGUGUAGCGGUGAAAUGCGCAGAUAUCAGGAGGAACACCGGUGGCGAAGGCAGGUCUCUGGGCCACUACUGACGCUGAGACGCGAAAGCGUGGGGAGCGAACAGG